GACGAACGCUGGCGGCGUGCUUAACACAUGCAAGUCGAACGGAAAGGCCCCUUCGGGGGUACUCGAGUGGCGAACGGGUGAGUAACACGUGAGUAACCUGCCCUUGACUUCGGGAUAACUUCAGGAAACUGGGGCUAAUACCGGCUAGGAAUCCUUGCUGCAUGGUGGGGGUUGGAAAGCUUCGGCGGUUUUGGAUGGACUCGCGGCCUAUCAGCUUGUUGGUGGGGUAGUGGCUUACCAAGGCUUUGACGGGUAGCCGGCCUGGGAGGGCGACCGGCCACAUUGGGACUGGGGUUCGGCCCAGACUCCUUCGGGAGGCAACAGGUGGGGAUUUUUCACAAUGGGCGGGAGCCUGAUGCAGCAACGCCGCGUGCGGGAUGGCGGCCUUCGGGUUGUAAACCGCUUUCAGCAUGUGCGGAGCUUGUGGUGACGGUACCUGCAGAAGAAGCACCGGCUAACUACGUG
rnacentral:rRNA from 1 species